rnacentral:rRNA from 1 species
UUAGCCCUACGGGGCGCAGCAGUGGGGGAUAUUGGACAAUGGGGGAAACCCUGAUCCAGCGACGCCGCGUGAGUGAAGAAGUAUUUCGGUAUGUAAAGCUCUAUCAGCAGGGAAGAAAGAAAUGACGGUACCUGAGUAAGAAGCCCCGGCUAACUACGUGCCAGCAGCCGCGGUAAUACGUAGGGGGCAAGCGUUAUCCGGAAUUACUGGGUGUAAAGGGGGCGUAGACGGUAAUGCAAGUCUGAUGUGAAAGGUCGGGGCCCAACCCCGGGACUGCAUUGGAAGCUGUUGAACUGGAGUACAGG